rnacentral:misc_RNA from 1 species
UGAUGACUUUAGAGUGCAAGUGCAAGUGCAGGUGCAUCAACAACAAAAAAAGGAGAGGUACGCGAAACACAUGCACACCUACGUGCGUGCUGGGUGUUUGUGUGUGUGGGCGUGCGGGCACGUUGGAUUCGGCCGCUAUUCGGCAUGCUAGGAAAGUAGCAGAAGGCUACGUCGCAUCUUUGGAACCUUGCUCGUCACCACGCCUCUGAUCGCUUUCUCUCCUCUACCUGAUACCCACCCACCCACCCACCCACCCACACAUACACACACCGACACAGAGAAAAACAGAGGCGAGAAAAGGAGAGCUGCAGAGCAGGUGAGGGACCGAUACGUACUGCUUCACGUGCACCCCGCAGACAUACAGAGCUUAUCACCGCCACCACCUGCCCUCCCAUCCUCCUCUCCGUGUCUCUCUUCCUGCGCCACUCUUCAACAGCAUAUUAAGGGGCUCUUUGUUUUUCUUUUUUUUGCGUUGCCACAUUCAUUUUCCACUUUGUGAGUGGUGUUUUUGCACCCCCUUCCCCCGCUCUUUUUCCUGGCUCUCCCCCACCACCUUUGGCUCCCUGCACUGCCCCGUUCAUUGCGCUGGGCUCCGUUGAAGCUCCUCUUGUCACGGCAUCGUUCUCUCCUCCUCUCUCGACAUAUCUUAUCCUUCCCACUCCUCCCUCUCUUGUCUACGGAGCUGGGCUGCGGCAAUUUUUUUUUUAUGCCUUCCCUUUCCGCGUUGAACUCGCAUUGCAUAUUGUCCCGCACCCCCACCUCUCUUCGUGCGGCUUCGUUUCUUUCCCUUCUUUUUUCUUUCUGGGUGUCCUCUACGUUCUCGGUUUCUUUCUCCCUCUCUUGCGUAUGCAUGUAGUGUCUCUGUGCCGUGUUGUUGUGCUUUCCACCCGCUUCUGUGUUUGCCCCUCCGCUUCUUUGCAUCCCAGCAACAGCAGCAGCAGCCCACGUCCACAGACAGACCUUGCAUCCACAGCAGUGGCACUAUUUUGAUUAUACAUCAUCUACUUAUGAUUAUAUUUUUGCCCCCCCCCUCCUUCGCCGCUGCGCCUCUGCCUCUUCAUCUGACUGCAAGCUGUUCUUCCGCUCCUCUCCCCUUUCUUUUGAUUUGGCGGGUAGAAGAAGAAAAAAGAAAACAAGGGAAGGAGCGCGCGUCUGGUCUGCGUGCGUGCCUGCCCGCUCAUCGGAUCUCUCUCCAUUUCUCUACCUACAGACACCUUUACGGGCGUUUGCUUCAGACCUGUGCAGAUAGCUUGGCGAGCCGAAUAAACAACAGGUAACGACAAACCCGCUCACACCCCUUUCCCCUGCUCCCCUUUCGUCACACACGCACGCACGCACACGCACAUGCACAGAGAUGCACGCCCGCCUCCAUCUUUGAGAGAACCGGAAGAUGAACUGGACCAAGCGGAUUGCGAGCGGUGGGCUCCUCGCUCAGUACGCAAAACAACAGCAACGAAGAAGUGCCCCCGAUCGCAGAGCACUCCACGCGCUGCGGGCUCGCGCGCGUAUGUGUGCUUAAGUGUUCGAAUCCGAUAGUCCGAGGAAGAGGGGAGACGUGUGGUGGAUGUUGGGAGGUGAUAUCAUGUUCCACUCCACUUUUCUUCGCAUGAUUGUAGGCGAAGAAAAAUACAAGCACACGCACACAUACAUGGUUGCACCACCUGCCAGUGGCCACCUCGCCUUUAUCACUGCUUCCAUCUCUCUUUUUCCUCUUGCUCUCCGUCUCCUUGCACGGCGUGUGGAUGUUGGCUCUACUCUGUGUGUUUAUGCAUGCGGAUGCGUGCGUAUUGGCGCGUCGUCCUUGAUGCCUUCACCCAACGCCCACUUCUUUUUCAUGACUUCACAACAG